CCUACGGGAGGCAGCAGUGAGGAAUAUUGGUCAAUGGACGAGAGUCUGAACCAGCCAAGUAGCGUGAAGGAUGACUGCCCUAUGGGUUGUAAACUUCUUUUAUAUGGGAAUAAAAUGUUCCACGUGUGGGAUUUUGUAUGUACCAUAUGAAUAAGGAUCGGCUAACUCCGUGCCAGCAGCCGCGGUAAUACGGAGGAUCCGAGCGUUAUCCGGAUUUAUUGGGUUUAAAGGGAGCGUAGGUGGAUUAUUAAGUCAGUUGUGAAAGUUUGCGGCUCAACCGUAAAAUUGCAGUUGAAACUGGCAGUCGUGAGUACAGUAGAGGUGGGCGGAAUUCGUGGUGUAGCGGUGAAAUGCUUAGAUAUCACGAAGAACUCCGAUUGCGAAGGCAGCUCACUGGACUGCAACUGACACUGAGGCUCGAAAGUGUGGGUAUCAAACAGGAUUAGAUACCCCUGUAGUC
rnacentral:rRNA from 1 species